rnacentral:rRNA from 1 species
GAUUCUGGCUCAGGAUGAACGCUGGCGGGCGUGCCUAACACAUGCAAGUCGAGCGAUUCUCUUCGGAGAAGAGCGGCGGACGGGUGAGUAACGCGUGGGUAACCUGCCUCAUACACAUGGAUAACAUACCGAAAGGUAUGCUAAUACAGGAUAAUAUAAGAGAUUCACAUGGAUUUCUUAUCAAAGCUCCGGCGGUAUGAGAUGGACCCGCGUCUGAUUAGCUAGUUGGUAAGGUAACGGCUUACCAAGGCGACGAUCAGUAGCCGACCUGAGAGGGUGAUCGGCCACAUUGGAACUGAGACACGGUCCAAACUCCUACGGGAGGCAGCAGUGGGGAAUAUUGCACAAUGGGCGAAAGCCUGAUGCAGCAACGCCGCGUGAGUGAUGAAGGCCUUCGGGUCGUAAAACUCUGUCCUCAAGGAAGAUAAUGACGGUACUUGAGGAGGAAGCCCCGGCUAACUACGUGCCAGCCGCGGC